GGGUUGUGAGGUUAAGCGACCAAGCGUACACGGUGGAUGCCCUGGCAGUCAGAGGCGAUGAAGGACGUGCUAAUCUGCGAAAAGCGCCGGCAAGGUGAUAUGAACCGCUACAGCCGGCGAUGUCCGAAUGGGGAAACCCGGU
rnacentral:rRNA from 1 species